UUUUUGUGGGGGGCGGGGGGGGUGGCGAGUACGUGGAAGCCGCAGUCGUCAGCCUCGUGAACGCGCAGGGAGAAAAGCGCCGCCAAGAUGAUGUGCGAGGUGAUGCCCACCAUCAGCGAGGACACGGCGCUGAGUCAGCGCGGUUCCCAGAGCAGCUCGUCGGACCCGGACUCGCACUUUGAGCAGCUGAUGGUCAACAUGCUGGAUGAGAGGGACCGGCUGCUGGACACGCUGAGGGAGACGCAGGAGAGUCUGGGUCUGGCCCAGCAGCACCUGCAGGACGUCAUCUACGACCGCGACUCGCUGCAGAGGCAGCUCAGCUCCGCCCUGCCGCAGGAGUUUGCGGCCCUCACAAAGGAGCUGAACGCCUGCAGGGAGCAGCUGCUGGAGAAGGAGGAGGAGAUCUCCGAGCUAAAGGCCGAGAGGAACAACACCAGGCUGCUGUUGGAGCAUCUGGAGUGUCUGGUGUCGCGACACGAGCGUUCUCUGCGCAUGACGGUGGUCAAGAGGCAGGCCCAGUCGCCCUCUGGGGUCUCCAGUGAGGUGGAGGUCCUCAAAGCCCUCAAGUCCUUGUUUGAGCAUCACAAAGCCCUUGACGAGAAGGUGAGGGAGCGACUGCGGGUGUCAUUGGAGAGGGUGUCUGUCUUGGAGGAGGAGCUUACAGCAGCCAAUCAGGAGAUCGUGGCCUUACGUGAGCAGAAUGCUCACAUCCAGAGGAAGGUGGCGUCGGGCGACGGCGGCGACGACAUCCUGGAGGGCGGCGAAGCUCAGCAGAAGGUCCAUGGAAAGCGGCUGUCCAAUGGCUCCCUGGAGUCGGCACGUGAGGCCAGCCAGGUGGUGGAGCUGCAGGACCUGCUGGAGAAGCAGAACUACGAGUUGGCCCAGAUGAAGGAGCGCAUGUCCUCGCUGUCGUCCCGCGUCUGCGAGGUGGAGCAGGAGCUGGAGACCGCUCGUAAGGACCUCAUCAAGUCAGAGGAGAUGAACAACAAGUACCAGCGGGACAUCAAAGAGGCCAUGUGCCAGAAGGAGGACAUGGAGGAGCGCAUCGUCACACUGGAGAAGCGCUACCUGAGCGCCCAGCGAGAGUCCACGUCGGUCCACGACAUCAACGACAAGCUGGAGAACGAGCUGGCCAACAAGGAGGCCUUCCUCAGACAGAUGGAGGAGAAGAACCGGCAGCUGCAGGAGAGGCUGGAGUUGGCCGAGCAGAAGCUCCAGCAAACCAUGAGGAAGGCCGAGACUCUACCAGAGGUGGAGGCCGAGCUGGCCCAGAGGAUUGCCGCCCUCACCAAAGCGGAGGAGCGUCACGGCAGCAUUGAGGAGAGGAUGAGGCACUUGGAGUGCCAGCUGGAGGAGAAAAACCAGGAGCUUCUCAGGGCUCGCCAGCGAGAGAAGAUGAAUGAGGAGCACAACAAGCGUCUCUCGGACACGGUUGACAGGCUCCUCACGGAGUCCAACGAGCGUCUGCAGCUUCACCUGAAGGAGCGGAUGGCGGCUCUAGAAGAGAAGAAUCUGCUGAUUCAGGACUCUGAGGGCUACAGGAAGCAGUAUGAGGAGUCCAUCCAUGAAAAGACGCACCUGGCCGGGGAGAUCGAGAAGCUGAGAUUGGAGUUGGACCAGUUCCGAUUGAGGGCAGGAUCCCUCACUGAACCUACCCUCUCACGGUCUCAUCUGGACACGUCCGGCGAGCUCCGGUUCUCGCUAGGCUCUCUGGCUGAGACCCAAUCCGACCACUACCGCUCGGCCAAAGUCAUCCGCCGGCCCAGGCGAGGUCGGAUGGAUCUGCAUGACACCAAGGCCAAGUCGCUGGGGGAGCACGAGUGGCGCUCGCAACAGCUCGGGGUUCUGGGGGGCCACCACUUCGAGAGCGACACAGAGAUGUCUGACAUCGACGACGACGACAGAGAAACGCUAUUCAGCUCCAUGGACCUCCUCUCGCCUGGCGGCCACUCCGACGCACAAACCCUGGCCAUGAUGCUGCAGGAGCAGCUGGACGCCAUCAACAAGGAGAUCCGGCUGAUUCAGGAGGAGAAGGAGUCGACGGAGCUGCGGGCUGAGGAGAUCGAGAACCGUGUGGCCAGCGUCAGCUUGGAGGGUCUCAACCUGGCACGGAUGCACCAUCACCACCACGGCGCCUCCAUGACCGCCUCGGCCACCGCCUCCUCGCUGGCGUCGUCCUCCCCGCCCAGCGGACGCUCCACCCCCAAACUUGACCCCCGGAGUCCUGCUCGCGACAUGGAACGUAUGGGAGUGAUGACGCUGCCCAGCGAUCUAAGGAAGCACAGGAGAAAGAUAGCGGCGGUGGACGAAGACGGCCGUGAGGACAAGGCCACCAUCAAGUGUGAGACGUCACCUCCGUCGACACCGCGCACCGUCCGGAUGACGCACACGCUGCCAUCCUCGCACAAUGACGCUCGCGGCUUUGCCUCUCUGGAAGCUGAAGGCACCCUGAGCAGCGUCGCCAGCAGCCAGGACUCCCUGCACAAGCAGCCCAAAAAGAAGGGCAUCAAGUCGUCCAUCGGGCGGCUCUUCGGCAAGAAAGAGAAGGGCCGACUGGCACAUCUUGCACACAGACAUGUCAUGGUGGAUCCACAAGCCACCAUGAUGGACUCGGACAUGUCGAGCCAAGACGUCGGCGUGGGCAAGCUUGGCACUCAGGCCGAGAAGGACCGCCGCUUGAAAAAGAAACAUGAACUCCUGGAAGAAGCCAGGAGGAAGGGCUUACCUUUCGCGCAGUGGGACGGACCCACUGUGGUGGCCUGGCUGGAGUUGUGGCUGGGAAUGCCGGCCUGGUACGUGGCGGCGUGCCGCGCCAACGUCAAGAGUGGCGCCAUCAUGUCGGCCCUCUCCGACACGGAGAUCCAGCGGGAGAUCGGAAUCAGCAACCCUCUCCACCGCCUCAAGCUCCGCCUCGCCAUCCAGGAGAUGGUCUCCCUCACCAGCCCGUCGGCGCCGCCCACCUCCAGAACUCCGUCUGGCAACGUGUGGGUGACCCACGAGGAGAUGGAGACCAUGGCGGCCCCUUCCAAAACGAAGUCCCAGUCUGACGAGGGCAGCUGGGCUCAGACGCUGGCGUACGGCGACAUGAACCACGAGUGGAUCGGGAACGAGUGGCUGCCCAGUCUCGGACUACCUCAGUACCGCAGCUACUUCAUGGAGUGCCUGGUGGACGCGCGCAUGCUGGACCACCUGACCAAGAAGGACCUGAGGGUGCACCUGAAGAUGGUGGACAGCUUCCACAGAACUAGUUUACAGUACGGCAUCAUGGGUCUGAAGAAGCUCAACUACGACAGGAAGGAGUUGGAGCGACGGCGGGAGACCAGCCAGCACGAAAUGAGAGACGUUCUGGUGUGGAGCAACGAGCGCGUGGUCCGCUGGGUGCAGAGCAUCGGCCUGAGGGACUACGCCGGCAUCCUGCACGAGAGCGGCGUGCACGGAGCGCUGGUCGCCCUGGACGACAACUUUGACUACAGCAGCCUGGCUCUGGUGCUGCAGAUCCCCAACCAAAACACUCAGGCCCGUCAGAUCCUGGAGCGCGAGUACAAUAAUCUCCUGGCGCUUGGCACCGACCGGCGGUUGGAUGAGUGCGACGACAAAGACUUCCGAGGUCCGUCGUGGAGGAGACAGUUCCCGCCGCGGGACGUGCAUGGGAUCAGCAUGAUGCCCGGCUCGGCCGAGACGCUGCCGGCCGGCUUCCGUCUCACCACCACGUCGGGUUACUCGCGGAGGUUACCCCCUGACGUCCUUUACGAGGACGGCGUGUAUGUGGAUUGGUUUUAAGUCGGACCCUCUGCAGUGCAGCGGCUGGACAGCUCCACGGUGAGAACCUACUCGUGCUGAGAGAGAGGAGACGGACCUUAAACUGUACCCUGCCCAGUUCUGAAUGGAGCUGCUGGACAGGCCAAAAUGGCUGGAGGGGUUCAGGUGUGGUCGGGGGGGGGGGGACAGUUGGGGGCACGCCAUUGGGACAACUCGCACUGCCAAGAAGCCCCCAUCUCCAAACCUCACCAACCAGCCCCUCCCUCGCUUCUAACGUGGCCUCCAGCCGCCGGUGCUAAACUAAAACUAUCCUGCAGGCUGGUGGCCAUUUCUACCUUUUACAUGUAAAGCAUACGACGUACUGUCUUAUUUAUUUCUUCUACAAAACAUGUUGUAGGUUAUCUGUAAAUUAAUAUAAAUAUGCCAUUUUUUAAUAUACAUACACACACGUCUAUGUGUAAAAAAAAAAAAAAAAAAAAAAAAUACAAAAAACCUCUUGUGCAAAGAAAUGUUAGUGGACCAUAGAUAAUAUAAUGCUGCUCUCAGAACACAUCAUCCUGACAUCCUUCUAUUUUUUCAUUGUGCUGAGACGAGGGCGCCCUCUAGUGGUUGCUGCGAGCCAUGUUUCUUCCAGGGAGGACGAGCACCGAGCUUCAACCAAUAGGAACGCGUUUAGACAUCCAGCCCCGCCCAUUUGGAGGUUAACCAGGAAGACGGACUUCCGGUCACCAUCAUCGUGUGCGUAGAUUGUUGACAAAACAACGUGAGGUGACUUCAGAAAUGCUUGCUGUGACAUUUUGGUGUCUUGGGACCUCGUUUUUGUCUUUUUCGCCAUCAAGUUAUGUCCGCUUUUUUUUUUUUAAAACAUCUUCAAUUUGCACGAACAAGGACUCAUGAUGACAUCUUGUGUGUAUAUUUUCAUUGAUUUAUGACUUGUACGUAUGUUGUGGUGAGCAAAAGAAAUUAAAAAGAAAGACUGAGUAAAAUGACUUUAUUAUUUCAACAAAAUGUUUGAAUGGAAAAAGUCAUGUAAACAU